rnacentral:rRNA from 1 species
UAACAAGGAUUCCCCUAGUAACUGCGAGUGAAGCGGGAAAAGCUCAAAUUUAAAAUCUGGUAGUCUUUGGCUGCCCGAGUUGUAGUCUAGAGAAGUGUUUUCCGCGCUGGACCGUGUACAAGUCUCUUGGAACAGAGCGUCAUAGAGGGUGAGAAUCCCGUCUUUGACACGGACUACCAGUGCUUUGUGAUGCGCUCUCAAAGAGUCGAGUUGUUUGGGAAUGCAGCUCAAAAUGGGUGGUAAAUUCCAUCUAAAGCUAAAUAUUGGCGAGAGACCGAUAGCGAACAAGUACCGUGAGGGAAAGAUGAAAAGCACUUUGGAAAGAGAGUUAAACAGUACGUGAAAUUGUUGAAAGGGAAACGCUUGAAGUCAGUCGCGUCGUCCAGAACUCAACCUGGCUUUUGCUUGGUGCACUUUCUGGUUGACGGGCCAACAUCAGUUUUGACUGUCGGAAAAAGUCCUUAGGAAUGUGGCACCUCCGGGUGUGUUAUAGCCUUUGGUCGUAUACGAUGGUUGGGACUGAGGACCGCAGCACGCCUUAUGGCCGGGGUUCGCCCACGUACGUGCUUAGGAUGUUGGCGU